ACGGAGGGUGCGAACGUUAAUCGGAAUUACUGGGCGUAAAGCGCGCGUAGGCGGUUCGUUAAGUGAGGUGUGAAAUCCCCGGGCUCAACCUGGGAACUGCAUUUCAAACUAACGGGCUAGAGUGUAGUAGAGGGAGGCGGAAUUUCCUGUGUAGCGGUGAAAUGCGUAGAUAUAGGAAGGAACACCAGUGGCGAAGGCGGCCUCCUGGACUAACACUGACGCUGAGGUGCGAAAGCGUGGGGAGCAAACAGG
rnacentral:rRNA from 1 species